GAUGAGCAUGCGUCCCAUUAGCUUGUUGGUAAGGUAACGGCUUACCAAGGCAACGAUGGGUAGGGGUCCUGAGAGGGAGAUCCCCCACACUGGUACUGAGACACGGACCAGACUCCUACGGGAGGCAGCAGUGAGGAAUAUUGGUCAAUGGGCGCAAGCCUGAACCAGCCAUGCCGCGUGCAGGAUGAAGCAUCUAUGGUGUGUAAACUGCUUUUGUACGAGAAGAAACACUCCUACGUGUAGGAGCUUGACGGUAUCGUAAGAAUAAGGACCGGCUAACUCCGUGCCAGCAGCCGCGGUAAUACGGAGGGUCCAAGCGUUAUCCGGAAUCAUUGGGUUUAAAGGGUCCGUAGGCGGUCUUGUAAGUCAGUGGUGAAAGCCCAUCGCUCAACGGUGGAACGGCCAUUGAUACUGCAAGACUUGAAUUAUUGGGAAGCAACUAGAAUAUGUAGUGUAGCGGUGAAAUGCUUAGAUAUUACAUGGAAUACCAAUUGCGAAGGCAGGUUGCUACCAAUACAUUGACGCUGAU
rnacentral:rRNA from 1 species